UACGGAGGGUGCGAGCGUUGUCCGGAAUCACUGGGCGUAAAGGGCGCGUAGGCGGCCUGGUAAGUAGGGGGUGAAAUCCUGCGGCUUAACCGCAGGGCUGCCUUCUAAACUGUCAGGCUAGAGCACGGUAGAGGCAGAUGGAAUUCCCGGUGUAGCGGUGGAAUGCGUAGAUAUGACACAGAACACCGAUUGCGAAGGCAGCUAGCUAAAGUAUGAUUGACGCUGAGGCGCGAAAGCGUGGGGAGCAAACAGG
rnacentral:rRNA from 1 species